AUGCAGUCUGCCCUCUGUCUGCUUUCCAUCCUCACCCUGCUCCACGGUGUCCAGUGCGAUGGUCAACUGGUGGAGUCCGGGGGAGACGUGAGACAGCCUGGAGGAUCUCUGCGCCUCUCCUGUAAAGCUUCUGGAUUCACCUUCAGUAGCUACUGGAUGGAUUGGGUCCGCCAGGCUCCAGGGAAGGGGCUGGAGUGGGUCUCAACUAUAAGUGGCAAUGGGGGCACCAUAUACUAUUCAGACUCUGUGAAAGGCCGAUUCACCAUCUCCAGGGACAAUGCCAACAACCUGAUGUAUCUGCAAAUGAGCAGCUGAAAUCUGAGGACAUGGCCCUAUAUUACUGCAGUCAGGAGGAGGCUGGGCAGCAGGGAGCCCUCAGGACCCACUGA